UCUGACUUAGGGUCUAUGGAAUCUGAUUUAGUGUCUAUGGAAUCCGAUUUAGGGUCCAUGGAAUCUGAUUUAGGGUCUAUGGAGUCUGAUUUAGGGUCUAUGGAAUCUGAUUUAGGGUCUAUGGAAUCUGAUUUAGGGUCUAUGGAAUCUGAUUUAGGGUCUAUGGAAUCUGAUUUAGCGUCUAUGGAAUCUGAUUUAGGGUCUAUCGAAUCUGAUUUAGAGUCUACGGAAUCUGAUUUAGCGUCUAUGGAAUCUGAUUUAUUGUCUAUGGAACUUGAUUUAGGGUCUAUGGAAUCUGACUUAGGGUCUAUGGAAUCUGACUUAGGGUCUAUGGAAUCUUAUUUAGUGUCUAUGGAAUCCGAUUUAGGGUCUAUGGAAUCUGAUUUAAGGUCCAUGGAAUCAGAUUUAUGGUCUAUGGAAUCUGACUUACGGUCUAUGGAAUCUGACUUAGGGUCUAUGGAAUCUGAUUUAGGGUCUAUGGAAUCUGAUUUAGGGUCUAUGGAAUCUGAUUUAGGGUCUAUGGAAUCUGACUUGGGGUCCAUGGAAUCUGAUUUAGGGUCUAUGGAAUUUGAUUCAGGGUCUAUGGAAUCUGAUUUAGGGUCUAUGGAAUCUGAUUUAGGGUCUAUGGAAUCUGAUUUAGGGUCUAUGGAAUCUGAUUUAGGGUCUAUGGAAUCUGACUUGGGGUCCAUGGAAUCUGAUUUAGGGUCUAUGGAAUUUGAUUCAGGGUCUAUGGAAUCUGAUUUAGGGUCUAUGGAAUCUGAUUCAGGGUCUAUGGAAUCUGAUUUAGGUCUAUGGAAUCUGAUUUAGGGUCCACGGAAUCUGAUUUAGGGUCUAUGGAAUCUGAUUUAGGGUCUAUGGAAUCUGAUUUAGGGUCUAUGGAAUCUGACUUGAGGUCCAUGGAAUCUGAUUGAAGGUCUAUGGAAUCUGAUUUAGGGUCCAUGGAAUCUGAUUUAGAGUCUAUUGAAUCUGAUUUAGGGUCUAUGGAAUCUGAUUUAGGGUCUAUGGAAUCUGACUUGGGGUCCAUGGAAUCUGAUUUAACAUCUAUGGAAUCUGAUUUAGGGUCUAUGGAAUCUGAUUUAGGGUAUAUGGAAUCUGACUUAGGGUCUAUGGAAUCUGAUUUAUGGUCGAUGGAAUCUGAUUUAGGGUCUAUGGAAUCUGACUUAGGGUCUAUGGAAUCUGACUUAGGGUCUAUGGAAUCUGAUUUAGUGUCUAUGGAAUCCGAUUUAGGGUCCAUGGAAUCUGAUUUAGAGUCUAUGGAAUCUGACUUAG
rnacentral:lncRNA from 1 species